rnacentral:lncRNA from 1 species
AUUUUAAGCAGUCACAUAAUUGUGAAAGGAUGUUGAUCAAACUAAUGACUGUAUAUUUUAGGAAAGAGACAGAUUUACACUCUAAUAUUACACUUAGAGUUUUUACACUCAUUUUUAGGAAACCAUACCUAAUGAAAAUUUAUCAAUAAUAGAGCACACUCUUCAGGACAUGUUUAAAAAUCACUGAUAGGAAAAAAAUAGCCAAUGGCAAAGAUAACUGAAAAAAAUCUUUGAGAGAGGAUAAGAUUUCUGGAUACCAAAUUAGAAGAUCUCUGGCUCAGGAAAAUGUGAUGAAAUUGCCAUCAGAUGGACCA